AUACGGAGGGUGCAAGCGUUAAUCGGAAUUACUGGGCGUAAAGCGCGCGUAGGCGGUUUGAUAAGUCGGAUGUGAAAUCCCCGGGCUCAACCUGGGAAUUGCAUUCGAUACUGUCAGGCUAGAGUGUGGUAGAGGGAAGUGGAAUUUCCGGUGUAGCGGUGAAAUGCGUAGAUAUCGGAAGGAACACCAGUGGCGAAGGCGGCUUCCUGGACCAACACUGACGCUGAGGUGCGAAAGCGUGGGGAGCAAACAGGAUUAGAAACCCCGGUAGUCC
rnacentral:rRNA from 1 species